GCUCAGUAACACGUGGACAACGUGCCCUAAAGUGGAGCAUAAUCUCGGGAAACUGAGGAUAAUUCUCCAUAGACCAUGAGAUCUGGAACGACUUAUGGUUCAAAGUUCCGGCGCUUUAGGAUCGGUCUGCGGCCUAUCAGGUAGUAGUGGGUGUAACGUACCCCCUAGCCAAUUACGGGUAUGGGCCUUGAGAGAGGGAGCCCAGAGUUGGAUUCUGAGACACGAAUCCAGGCCCUACGGGGCGCAGCAGUCGCGAAAACUUCACAAUGGGCGAAAGCCCGAUGAGGGAAUUCCUAGUGCUAGCACAUUUGUGUUAGCUUUUCCUUAGCGUAGAUAACUAGGGGAAUAAGGGCUGGGUAAGACGGGUGCCAGCCGCCGCGGUAAUACCCGCAGCCCGAGUGGUGGUCGAUUUUAUUGAGUCUAAAACGUUCGUAGCCGGUCUGAUAAAUCCUUGGGUAAAUCGGGAAGCUUAACUUUCCGAAUUCCGAGGAGACUGUCAGGCUUGGGAUCGGGAGAGGUAUGAGGUACUUCAGGGGUAGGGGUAAAAUCCUGUAAUCCUUGGAGGACCACCGGUGGCGAAGGCGUCAUACUAGAACGAAUCCGACGGUGAGGGACGAAGCCCUAGGUCGCAAACGGGAUUAGAUACCCCGGUAGUCUAGGGUGUAAACGCUGCAGACUUGGUGUUGGGGGCCCUUCGGGGGCAUUCAGUGCCGGAGAGAAGUUGUUAAGUCUGCUACUUGGGGAGUACGUCCGCAAGGAUGAAACUUAAAGGAAUUGGCGGGGGAGCACAAUCUCCCUGGUUC
rnacentral:rRNA from 1 species